UGGAUACGGUUGUAUUAUUGAAAAAUUUUAUGUCCAUGGUUGUAUUGUCAGCUGUACAAGCCUAAUAAUGCCCGGGCCCAAACCCAAUAAACUAAACCAAAACCCAAUAGCUAAUUCCUAACCCAGGCCCGAAACUAAUGGAAAAGGGAAGGGUUGGGAAGCCCUAGCAACAGCCCUCGCCUCCAGCAGACUCUCCAGGCGCCGCACGUCUCGGGGCCGACCUCUCCACACGCGCCGUUUGCUCCACGAACGCCUGCAAAUGCGGACUCAAUGAGUCCGAAAGAAAAAAACAACAAGAAAUAACAUUAUUUCAUUAUUUUCUUUUUCUUUUUCUUUUUCGGGCUAUAAAAAGCCAUUUCUAAUCUGUAAAAUGGGGGUCGAAAAAUAUAUGCAAAGAUAUAGAGAGAAAAUACAGGAAUUAAACUUGUUUUUGCAUAGGCGAUUUCUUCUUUGUUUUGCUUUGCAGUGUCCAUCGUUUUUUACAUAUAUAUUGUUUUAUUCUCUUUUAUUUUCGUUUUAUUUCAUUUAAAACAAUAAAGAAAAGAAGGGAUCUUACCUCUUUCGUCAAAGUCCCCGGAUGGUUGCCAUCUCCGUCGCAAUCGGAGCGUUGGCACGAACGGCGGCGCAAAAUGGGUUAAAAGAGCCCUAACAGAGCAACUAUUUUUUUUAAAUGUUUGCUGUGGCUGUUGUUUUGAAGGAAAACUAAAGACUUUCUAAUUAGGGUUUUGGGUUGGUUUUUAUAGAGGGAAAAGUGACACCGUUUAAUGGCCUAGUGAUCCUUGCAUUUUGUCUUAAUGGCCUAAUUGUGCAUUGGGUCCUUCAUUCUUUUAUUGCUUUAAAAUCAAGUUUUUUUUUGUUUUUUAAUUCCCCUAGGAUUUAUUUCAUUUUCAAUCGGGUCUAUAAUUGAACGGCGUCGUUUUGGAGGGUAGGGAUUAAUUUCCCUUUUGAUCCCUCCUUAUUAUUCACGUGUUCGAUCAAGUUUGUCCGUUUUUUUACUUAUUUUCGAAUCUACCCCAUUUUUUUGUUUUUAAGUUCAAUUUAGUCCAUCUUUAGCCAUUUUUUUAUUAUUUCUUUUUUUUAUGUUUAUCAUUAUAGCAUUAUUUAUUAUUAUAUUAUUUACUAUCACUGUUAUCAUCAUUACUUCUAUCUUCAUACAUGCAUUAUCUUUUUUAUAAAUAAUACAUAUACGCAUGUUUUUUACUCGCAUAGUUUUUUUUUAUAAUAUAUAUAUAAUGCAUUUUAUGUAGAAUAUGUAUAGCUGCAUACAUUUUAUACACUUUUUUAUUUUCAUUUUAUUUCUUAACUUCUAUAUACAUAUAUAUGCAUUUCAUAAUUUCUUAAUAUAUUUUUUUUUCAUUUUUUAAAUACACAUAUUUUUUACAAAACAUAAAUAUCUUUUAUAUUUUAAUUCCAAAAAUAUUUGUUUACUUUACUUUCGUGGAUAUGUACAUAUACCUACUUUCAUAUAUACGUUUCAUCAUUUAUUUUCAUAUUUUUUUUACAUACAUAUAUAUAUACACAUAUGCAUACUUUUAUAUUUUUUUAUUUUUCACGAUUUUCAAACACAUAUACAUGCAUUUUUAUUGGUUUUUUAAUUGAUAUAUUCUAUUCCAUCUUUCCAUAUGUAUUCUUGUAUAUGUACGUUAAAUAUAUGCGUACACAUAUUUUCAAAUUUACUUGUAUAUUGUACUUGUAUAUAUAUUUGUAAAUACAUAUUCAUAUAUGUUUUAAAUUAAAGUUUUUGUUUCAUAUUAACAUACCUUUUGGGAAAUAUAUUUUGGUUUGUCGAAACAUCAAAAUUAUUUUUUUCUCUUGAUUCAAUCUUUUUUUGAAUAAAAGCAAUAUUCAAAGUUUGGGAUUUUCGAGGAAAUCGAGCCCUAACGUAUUGGGUUCCGAUUUUCUUUGUUAAUCUUAAAUAACCGAGAAUAUUCUUUAUUCAAAAUACAUGAGUAUAAAAAUCACUUUCGGGAACUUAACUUGUUGUGUCCUAACGUAUUGGGUGUGACAUGUUAUUUUCUCUAAAUGAAGAUUUUCAUAUAAAAUAAAGUGAUAUUCAAAGUUCGGGGAUUAUGAAGAAUUGUACCCUAACGUAUUGGGACUCGAUUUCUUUACAUGACUUGAACAAUUAAUUAUCCUUUUUCAAAUUCCAUCGUUUGAGUUGAUUUUUAAAUUUUUUUUAACCUUCGACACUAAGACAUCAAAUAAUCAAUUUGGUGCCGAUUUUGGGCGUUACGAGUGUGCUAACCCUUCCUCGUGCGUAACUGACUCUCGAACUCGUUUUCUCAAAAUUCGUAGACCUAAAUAAUUUUUAAGGUGAGCCGAUCACACCUUAAUAAAGGAUUGGUGGCGACUCUAGUUUUAUUUUUUAAGUCGACAACUAGAUUUUUGUUUUUCAAAAAAACGAUUUCGACAGCUUGGCGACUCCACUGAAGACUUUGAGAGUCGAGCCAUAAACUGAUAGUAUUUGUCUUUGUGUCGAAAAUCAAAAGUUUUUAGAAAAUUUCAUGAGUUCCUUUCGCAUUCAUUGAUUUCUUUUUUUUCAUCUUGGUAUGUUGGUAGCUUUGCAUUUACAUUUUGCAUUGUACCCUUUAAGUGGGAGCGAGAAACUAGUCCUUCAUGAGGUUUUCACCUCCGUGCAGGGUAGUGGACCGUUUCCAGGAUGCAUCCGUACCUAUAUCUUCGUGAGAUUUUCAUCUCCGUGCAGCCAUAGGGAAAUGUAUCCCCUUGAACUGAACUUGAUCCAUAUGAGCCUAUAAUGGGUGAGGAUCGAGGAAUCUGCUGGUUCGGGUACCCUUACUCUAGAAACUAAACAUCAUAUAGUGAGCUUUAGGAACUUGACCUAGGUAGAACUAUCCCAAAACCCUAGUGGAUUCCAGAUUAACUGUUUCUUGCUAUUUCAUGCUUGUAUUGGAUUAUAUCUCUAUAUGUGAUACUGACUUGGGUUUCUUUUGUUUUGAUUGCAUGACAUCAUGAUUGCAUAGCAUUUCAUCCUAAAAGGGCGUUAGUUCAUAUUCGGUUGCUAAAUAGAAAGCUUAUCAUGGAGAAAGGGUUUCUUGAUAAGAUGGAAGAUAAUGCGGCUGUCCAAACUUGGUCUGAGACAACACAGCAAGAGAAAGGUGAUAGUUUGGCCGAGGGAUAUGUGUCAGAGUUGUGGGACUUCACUCGUGUUAGUGCGACUCAGAAUAGCCUACAUAAACUAAAGGAAAUUUGGGAAAGGUGGAAUGAUGAGGUUAAACAGCUCUUCUACUCUAGCUAUGGAGACCUACCUUACUUGCUCGACUUAAAGGUGGAUAAGCACUUAUUUCGUGCCUUAGCCCAAUUUUGGAAUCCUGCUUAUAGUUGCUUUACCUUUGGAAAAGUUGACUUAGUGCCUACGAUGGAGGAAUAUACGGCCUUGCUUCGUUUUUCAAAGAUCCAAGUAGAUAAAGCCUACUCGAGAGCUGCUAAUGUUCCAACCUUUUUGAAGAAAUUGAUGAAUAUUACGGGGAUGAGUGAGCAAUGGGCCGCAGCACGAAUCAAACAAAAGGGAGAUAGUAAAUGCAUUCCUUGGAAGAGCCUGAAGGAUUUAAUUCUAGCACACCCGGAUACGAGGAAGAAGGUUGAUGUCUUUGCCUUGGGUAUUUACGGUUUAGUUACCUUUCCCAAAGCCUUGGGACAUGUUGAUGAAGCAGUCACUGAUCUUUUCGAUCGACUUGGUAAAGGAGUUACACCGGUUCCAGCAAUUUUAGCAGACUCUUUCAGGUCACUGAACGAAUGCUGAAGAGUAGGUGAAGGAAGAUUCGUUGGAUGUGCGCAGCUUCUCUUGGCAUGGUUUCACAGUCACUUCUGGAAGGCUGAUAAAUUUUCCUAUCGAGUUUUUUUCUGAAACUUAUUCGCCUUUGAAAGAAAUAGUGGCGAUACCGAGGCAAGAUGGUGUUUUAGAAGAAAGAUGGAUUGCAAUUCUUCAGAAUCUUCAAGAGGAGAAUAUCGAGUGGAGAGCUCCUUGGAUGCUGCCAGAUGAGAUCUUGUAUAGGUGUGGAGAUUUCGAUAAGGUCCCUCUACUUGGGAUUUGGGGAGCUAUCGGCUAUGCACCGUUACUGGUAUUGAGACAGUAUAGAUCGAGGCAGUUCGUACCUACAACCCAAGGAUUAGCUCAAAGUGAAUUCUCGUAUAAGUAUGAUGGUUACAAGAAGAAGAUUCGAGAAAUGACAAAUGCUUAGAGGCAGACUCGACGAAUGAAGAGAUUGGCAGUAGUUCAUCGACGACUCUUGAAUAUAUCAAGUGGCUAGGUAGGAGGGUCAAUGAUAAUAUACCUGCACCAGGUCAAGGAGACAAUCAAUUAGUAGAAAAGCAUGUACAUGUAGUCCCUUCUGAGCUAGCAAUUAUAAAGCAAGAUUUUCAAAGAAGAAACUCAGAGCUCGAAAGGAAGAUAGAGCAAAUAGAAGAGGACAAGAUGAAUUUAAAGUUGGACAUAGAUGUUCAGAAGCUGGAAACCGAAGGUCUGAGAAAAGAAAAGUGCAAAGUCGAUGAAGAUUUGAAUAACUUGAAGACGGAUUAUAAGAGACUACGUAUGUCGAUGAGAACUGUUGGGUUGGGAAAAACCUCAGAGUAGUGGCGUCAAGAAGUUCAAGAAGCAAAAGGUCAAGGCUGAUAGGUGGGAAAAGAGAUUUCAGGAGGCUCAAAAGCAAAAUAAGUCCUUUGAGAGGAGUUUGUCAGAAAGUCGGAAUGAAAAGGAUGAAUUAAAAGCUAAGGUGGCCGAACUGGAUGAAACUAUUCAUCAAUAUCGAAAUCGCAAUGUUGUGAUGGAGUUGCAAGCAAGUUUGAGCAGGAUCGAGAAGAUGAAGAGAACAGUAGAAGGAUUAGAGAUGGCAUUACAGAACUGUGAAGUCAGGAUUGAACAUCUGGAAGCAAAUGAAGACCAUCAAAGUGAACAGCUUCACUAUCUCCAGGAUCAAAUUGCAAGAAGGGAUCACAUUAUGGGAGAAGCUGUGGUACAGAUUCAAGGGGUAGCUGAGCACCUGCAGACUUUAGCAAUACAAGCUGAUAUACUAAGUGUGAAGUACGAAUCAGAAUCAGAUCAGGGGCAGAAGUUGGCAUCAUUACUUAGGGAGAUUAAAGUUCUAAGUGUUAGGGCAAAGCCCUAUUUAUAGCCAUUUUAUGUAAAGAUCUCUAGUAAAGUUUUUUGAAUGGAAUUGAAUUAUAAUUAAUGCCUUUUUUGCAUUCAUCUCAUGCAUCGCAUCAUAUGUAUUAGCACCGCAUUAUAUGCAUUAAAGAUCUUUAUUUAAUCCUAAUAAGUCAAAAUCACUGCUCAGUUAACCUGGAAACCAACCAACCCAACACCGAUACGGCACUCGAGCAAAGACAAAAGAUAUGGAUCAGAGAUUGGAAAAACUCGAACAGUGUCAGAAGGAGAUGCAAGACCAACUUCAGCUACAGGUGCAGGAGCGGUUAGAUAAGAUGAAACAAGAGAUGUCUGAGAAGAUGCGAGAAUCCCAAGAAGAUAUAGUGGCAAAGUUAACCCAACUGAUAACUAAGGGAAGUGAUAAAGGAAAGGGCCCCAUGGCUAAUGUCGAUGAGGGAAAUGAUGAUGAACCUCUCUAUCCUCUAGGUUUCACCCCUCCACGUAUGCGAGCUCAAGUUGAAUACCCGCGCAAAUCUACUGUCACUAUCAUGCCUCAGCAGUUUCGGGCUGGUAUUUCAAACUUCCAAGCUGGACUGGGUUCUAAUCCUGAAAAUAAUCCUGUUAACUCUGCCAUUCCUGACUUUGAUGAAAUGGUUGAGAAGGAAAGAAUGAAGGAGGAGUUACUAAAACAGUUAGAGGAAAGGUGUAGGUGGCUCGAGGAGAAGUUCAAGGCGAUGAAGGUCACUGAGAGUUAUCGAAGCAUUGACGUAAAAGAGCUGAGUUUAGUGUCAGAUUUAGUACUCCCUCAUAAGUUUAAGAUGCCUGAAUUUGAAAAGUACAAUGGGACUAGCUGCCCAGAAGCUCACAUCACCAUGUUCUGCAGGCGAAUGGCGGGAUAUGUUAACAACGACCAACUCUUGAUACAUUGUUUCCAAGACAGCCUUGCUGGGGCAGCAUCCAAAUGGUACAAUCAGUUAAGUCGUGCCACGAUUGGUUCAUGGAGGGACUUGGCACAAUCGUUCAUGAAACAAUAUAAUCAUGUAACAGACAUGGCUCCUGAUAGAAUCACCCUUCUAAAUAUGGAGAAGAAGCCGAGUGAAAGCUUCAGGCAGUACGCACAGAGAUGGAGGGAGGUCGCGGUCCAAGUUCAGCCACCGCUCUUGGAAAAAGAAAUGACCAUGUUGUUCAUUAACACCCUGAAGGCACCGUUCAUUACACACAUGUUAGGAAGUGCUACAAAAAGCUUUCCUGACAUAGUCAUGAAUGGCGAGAUGAUUGAGAACGCCAUCAGGAGUGGGAAGAUUGAUGAAGGAGAGAGUAAUAGAAGAUCAACUUCGAAGAGGAAGGAAAACGAGGUGAACAACUCGAGCAUGUACAACAAGGGUUACUCGAAGUCAGUAACAGUGAGUUAGCCAGGAAAGGUGGCUGCCAAUCAGCAAAGCUCGUCGAGACAAGAGGUCGGUAUAAGGUGAAAUACUGAGAGGCCCCAAUUCACGCCAAUUCCUAUGUCGUACAGGGAACUAUACCGAAAUUUAUUUGACGCACACGUAGUUUCCCCUUUCUAUCUGAAGCCCUUGCAACCCCCGUAUCCCAAAUGGUACGAUGCGAAUGCACAGUGCGACUAUCAUGCGGGAACAACAAGGCAUUUCAUAGAAAACUGUACGACCUUUAAGAAGUUGGUUAAAAGGCUCAUUGGUAUGGGUGUCGUUAAAUUUAACUACUCGACCAAGGUAGGAAACCCGUUACCAAACCACACUGAUGGUGGGGUAAAUAUGAUGGGCGAAGACAGAAGAAUCAAGGCAGAAAUUACGGAUGUGAAAACUCUUUUGAGAUGGGUUUGAAAGGAAAUGGUGAAAAGGGGACUAAUCGUUUCAGAAGGAAGUUGUGAAAAGAGGGGGAACUACUGUGAGUUCCACCAUAAAGUGGGGCAUGAAAUCCAAGAGUGUACAGAGUUCAGAGCCAUGAUACAAGGUAUGAUGGAUAAUAGGGAGAUGGAAUUCUGUGAAUGAGUUCAAGAGGAGAGUCAUGUAUGCACGUCAGAGUUGGCAUUGGGAGUUCUGAAGGCUAACCAUCCUGUGGUCAUCAUCUCGCGACCUCAGAACAGUGAGGUUGGGGCAGAAAUAACACCAACAGUAAUCAUUCAAAAACUGGCUGUGUUUGCAUAUAAGGAUAACAGGGAGGUUCCUUGGAAUUACGAUUGUAAUGUGCAAUCCCGGGGAAGGAGGAUAUAAUCAGUAAAGAGGAUCAGAAUGAAGGAAGGCACUACGAACAGAUGAAGGCUCGAGUAGAGCCAAUAAGAAAAGAAGCUUCGGUUGGAAAGAAGAAGAAUACGGUCGAACCUAAAUUAUUGGUCAAUGAACCAAUCAAAGAGGAGGAAGCUAGAGAGUUCUUGAAGUUCCUAAAGCAUAGCGAGUACAGCGUUGUGGAACAACUGUACAAACAACCAGCUCGCAUAUCUAUGCUAGCUUUACUCCUGAACUCAGAGGGACAUCGAAAUGCACUACUGAAUGUGCUAAAUGAAACUUAUGUGGCUGACGAUAUCUCUGUUAACAAGUUGGGUCGACUGGUCGGUAAUAUAAGCGCUGAUAACUUCAUAUCCUUUAGCGAUGAUGAAAUACCACCUGGGGGUAUGGGAUCUACUAGAGCUUUACACAUCACUGCAAUGUGUAAAUGGUGCAUAUUACCAGGAGUUCUGGUAGACAACGGAUCGGCACUGAAUGUAUUGCCUCUAUCCACGCUCAACAGGCUACCUGUGGAUAGUUCACAUAUGAAGUCGUGCCAAAAUGUGGUGAGAGCAAUUGAUGGCACCGAGAGGAAAGUCAUGGGAAGAAUUGACAUACCCUUGUUAAUUGGCCCAACUAUCUAUGAGGUGGACUUCUUGGUAAUGGACAUCAACCCUUCUUACAGUUGUCUAUUAGGAAGGCCAUGGAUUCAUUCAGCAGGAGCGGUAUCAUCAUCGUUACAUCAAAAACUGAAGCUGGUGUCAGAAGGUCGGCUAGUGACGAUAAAUGCUGAAGAAGAUAUCAUUGCAUCUGUGACCAACGAUGCGCCUGAUUUGGAAACAAGUGAUGAUGCAAUCGAGUGCUCUUUUCAUUCCUUGGAGUUCGUAAAUGCAACAUUCAUCCUUGAGGAAAACAAGAUCCCGAUGUCGAGAAUAUCAAAGACCACAAAGAUGGGUCUGCAAUUGACAGUUGGAAAGGGAGCUUUGCCGAGAAAAAGAUUGGGGAAAUAUCUUCAGGGCCGAGUUGAGGCUCCAGUGUUGAAAGACAAGCAGGACCAUUUUGGCUUAGGAUACAAGCCAGAUGCUAGGCAGAAGAGGAUAGAGCAAGAGAAGAAGCGAGAGAGAAGAAGGGCUCGUUUGAUAGGUGAUCAAGUCAAAUGGGAGCCUAUGACCUUUCCUCACCUAUCUAAGACUUUUGUAUCGGGAGGAUUUAUCUAUCAAGGAAUGCUAGGAGUCGGAAGUAUUAACACGGAGUUAGAAAGUAUUCAUGCCGUGUAUGAAGAAGCGACGGGAGGAGGAACAUUGCAGGAUAUUCAACUUUACGAACCGAGAAGUGUGCUAAACAACUGGACUGCAGAAGAAAUACCUGUAGUUUUUAGGAUUUCCUCAGAGUAAUGUCCAGAACACCCUUAUUGCUUUUAGCCUAGAAGUGAUAAGGAUUCCUUUGUGAAAUAGGCUCAUGUCUAAAAAAUCGUUAUUUUAAUAAAGUUCAUUCUUGCAGUCAUUUUUGGAGCAAAUCUUUCUUUCUAUAAGAGCAGUUAUUUUGAAUUUCUCUCAAACUACACUUGCAUUUCAUUCAUGACCAUAUUGCACCAAAUAAAUUCCUGAAUCCAUAUUGUUUUUCAUAACAGGUCCUAUGAUAUCAAUGAUACGAAUGUCACUCUUACAAAUUUAGAGUCUCUUUUUGAACGAAACAUGUGUUUAGAAGGAUCGCAUGAUUUUGAAGAUGACGAAGACUGUGGUUUGUCUCCUGACUUGUUGAAGAUGGUAGAAAGGGCCGAGAAACAAAUCCUACCUCACAGGGAAUCAAUAGAAGUUGUGAGCUUGGAGGAAGGAAAAGAGGUGAAUAUCGGAUCUGAUAUUUCUGCAAAGAUAAGAUAAAACCUCAUCAGACUACUCCAGGAAUUCAAUGAUGUCUUUGCAUGGUCAUACCAAGAUAUGCCUGGGUUAAGUACGGACAUUGUAGUCCAUCGCCUUCCUAUAAAAGAAGAUUGCAAGCCAGUGCAGCAAAAGCUCAGAAGGAUGAGACCUGAUAUCGAGUUGAAUAUAAAAGAAGAGGUCCAGAAGCAGUUUGAUGCUGGAUUUCUGCAAGAAGUGAAGUAUUCUGAGUGGGUGGCCAACAUCGUACCAGUUCCAAAGAAAGAUGGGAAUGUACGAAUGUGUGUGGAUUACAGGGAUUUUAACAAGGCCAGUCCAAAAGACAGUUUCCCAUUACCUCACAUCGACACAUUGGUAGUCAAUACAGCGGACUUUUCAUUGUUUUCCUUCAUGGAUGGUUUUUCUGGGUAUAAUCAGAUAAAGAUGCAUCCCGAGGACAGGAGAAAGACUACGUUCAUUACGUUAUGGGGAACGUUUUGUUAUAAAGUGAUACCGUUUGGAUUAAAGAAUGCGAGAGCAACAUACCAAAGAGCCAUGGUAGCCUUAUUCCAUGAUAUGAUGCAUAAGGAGAUCGAGGUUUAUGUUGACGAUAUGAUCGCGAAAUCUAGAACGGAUGAGGAACAUGUGCAGGUCUUGAGAAAGUUAUUCUUAAGAUUGAGAAAGUUCCAGCUCAAGCUUAAUCCAGCGAAGUGCACUUUUGGGGCCAGGUCAGGAAAAUUGCUAGGCUUCAUAGUCAGUGAAAAGGGAAUCGAGAUUGACCCAGACAAAGUCAAGGCAAUAAGAGACUUACCUCCACCUCGCACUCAGAAAGAAGUUUGAGGUUUCCUCGGAAGACUGAAUUACAUCGCUAGGUUCAUUUCACAACUAACUGAGAAAUGUGACCCUAUAUUUUAUCUUUUGAAGAAACAUAAUCCUGGUACUUGGGAUGAAGAAUGCGAAGAAACUUUUAACAAGGUGAAGCAGUAUUUAUCUAAUACUCCAGUGCUAUCACCACCUAGCCCAGAUAGGCCGAUGAUAUUGUAUGUGAUAGUAUUUGAUAAUUCCAUGGGGUGUGUGCUAGGCCAACAUGAUGAAACGGGGAGAAAAGAAAGGGCGAUAUAUUAUCUCAGCAAGAAAUUCACUGACUGUGAAAUGAGAUAUUCGCCCAUUGAGAAGUUGUGUUGUGCCCUGAUUUGGACAACCCAAAGAUUAAGGCAGUACAUGUUAUACCAUACGACUUGGCUAAUCUCAAAGUUAGACCCGUUAAAGUAUAUGAUGGAUUCAACUGCUUUGAAUAGGAGGAUGGUCCGAUGGCAGAUUUUACUGUCUGAAUUUGAUAUCGUCUAUGUGAGUCAAAAAGCUGUAAAAGGGAGCGCAAUAACUGACUUUCUGGCUAGCAGGGCUUUGGAAGAUUACGAACCGUUAAGUUUUGAUUUUCCAAAUGAGGACUUGUUGUAUGUAGCUGCUAUUGAAGAAAAUCCCCAAGAACGUCACAGUUGGAAGCUAAACUUUGAUGGAGCCUCGAACGCUGUGGGCAAUAGAAUUGGGGCAGUCCUGGUGUCCCCGAAUGGUGAUCAUUAUCCUUUCACUUGCAAAUUGGAUUUUGAUUGUACAAACAACAUGGCAGAAUACGAAGCAUGCAUCAUGGGUAUUCGUGCAGCUAUAGAGCGAAGAACCAAAGUGCUAGAGGUCUAUGAAGAUUGAGUACUGGUGAUAUAUCAGCUUAGGGGUGAAUGGGAAACGAGAGAUCCCAAAUUAAUCAGUUAUCGAAAGUUGGUCCUCGAAUUGAUUAAGGAGUUUGAGGACAUCACUUUUUGCUAUCCCCUACGAGAUGAGAACCAGAUGGCUGAUGCACUAGCUACUUUAGCCUCUAUGAUCAAGGUGAACAAACAUGAGGAUAUGAAGCCUAUCCAAAUGAGUAUCUAUGAAAACCCAGCUCAUUGUUACAAUAUUGAAGAAGGAGAAAUCGAUGAUAGUCCUUGGUAUCAAGAUAUACUACGAUAUGUAAAAAAUCGUGAGUAUCUUGGCCAGGCAAUGGAGAAUGAAAAGAGAACUCUGAGAAGACUAGCCAUUGAUUACGUCUUAAAUGGGGAGAUCUUAUACAGGAGGGGAAAAGAUCAGGUACUGUUAAGAUGUGUGGACGCCGUAGAAGCAAAGAAAAUCCUGGAGGAAGUCCAUAAGGGCAUCUGUGGAACGCAUGCCAAUGGUUUCACAAUGGCUAGACAGAUUAUGAGAUUCGGGUAUUACUGUCCACCAUGGAAGGGGAUUGCAUCAAUUACUCCAAAAAGUGCCAUAAAUGUCAAAUCUAUGGUGAUAAAAUGCAUGCACCUCAUUCGCCUCUUCAUGUUAUGACUUCUCCAUGGCCUUUCUCCAUGUGGGGUAUGGAUGUCAUCGGGCCAAUAUCGCCGAAGGCUUCAAAUGGGCAUCGUUUCAUAUUUGUGGUUAUUGACUACUUCACCAAAUGGGUAGAAGCUGCUUCGUAUGCUAGCGUUACAAAGUCAUCAAUCAGUAAGUUCUUGAAAAAGGAGAUCAUAUGUCGAUAUGGAAUGCCUGAAAGAAUCAUAUCCGACAAUGCGCUGAACCUGAACAACAGCUAAAUAGUAGAAGUCUGCAGUCAAUUCAAGAUUAGACAUCACAAUUUAUCGCCGUAUUGCCCAAAAAUGAAUGGUGCAGUGGAAGCGGGUAAUAAAAAUAUAAAAAAGAUUGUGGGGAAGAUGACUGAGACUUACAGGGACUGGCACGAGAAAUUAUCGUUUGCCCUCCUUACUUAUCGAACGUCAAUCAGGACCUCCACCGGGGCAACGCCUUUCUCCUUAGUUUAUGGCAUGGAAGUAGUCUUGCCUAUCGAAGUUGAAAUCCCUUCUCUCCGGGUUUUGACUGAGCUACAAUUGGAUGAAGCAGAAUGGGUUCAAUCUCGAUACGAUCAGUUGAACUUGAUAGAGGGAAAAAGGCUAAAGACUAUUUAGCAUGGUCAGAUGUAACAGAAAAGAAUGAUGCGAGCCUACAACAAGAAGGUCCGACCUAGAGAAUUUCACGAUGGGGACCUGGUGUUGAGAAAAAUUCUUCCUCUACAAAAAGAUUUUAGGGGGAAAUAGAUGCCGAAUUGGGAAGGUCCUUAUGUUGUAAAAAAGGCCUUUUCUGGAGGAGCCCUAAUCUUGGCUGAAAUGGAUGGAAGAAACUUGCCUAAUCCAGUAAAUUCAGAUUCGGUCAAGAGAUACUUUACUUGAAGAAGGGAAGGAACCAAGGUGAAAACCCGCAAAGGGCGCUUUGAUUCCAAAAAAAAUAAAAAAAUAAAAUAAAAUGGAGAGGCUAGGGUGAAAACCCGCAAAGAGCACCUUAAGACCAAAGGGGUUUGAGUUGAAAACCUGACAAGGGCGGCUCAAAGUCUGAUUGAAGCACGUGGUAGUCUUGUUGUACCUAAAUCGGCAGAAAGGAAUAGAUGACAUCUUGGGGCAUCAACAAAAUACUAUGAAUCUCAUAAACACGUGUUAAAUUCAGAAGGGUCCUCAGAAAGUUGUAUAGAGCAAUUCAAGCAAAGAUAUCUGGGGCAGUUGUCCAUAAUUUGUGUUUCUAAAACACUUCAUUCUUUUUCAAUAUAAGUGUUUUAGUCAAUUUCCUUUUUUUUUUGACUUGUUUUCAUUGAUAAUUUAUUGCAAGUUAUGAUCUCAAGUCAAUUUCGUUUUAUCUAUCAUUAUGAUCUUUUCAAAAGCAUGUUGCAUUAGAAUAACGAUUAAUGGACUAAUAAAACUUUCACAAGGAAAGUUUUUCAUAUUACUCUGGAAAUUUCUAAAUAAUACAAGAACCUGAAGCAGGACUAUUGUUUAGACUUCACCGGGUUAAAAGGUCGAAGAUAUAUAGGAGUAAAAAGCCGAAUCAAGAAUUUUUGAGUUUUUUUCGAAGCGUUGUUAUGACAAAGGAAGCCUUAAUGUGUAAUAACGACUUCAAUAUUUAGCGUUAAUGAAUCAUUUUCAUGACAUAGCAUUUAGAUGUCAUUCAUACAUGCCUAGUUAAGAGCAUGUGAUCCAUUCCAAUCAUGAUAUCCUAAUCACUAGGCAUAAUUAGGUUUAUCAUACAGGUCAUGUUCCACAGAGAACAGGUCGGUGGAAUCAUAAAACCUUAUCUCCUUGAGCAGCAGUGGAGCAGGUUGAAAGAUAACAGAUAUUGUCUUCAUGUACUAGCGUGAAGUACAUCAGAGAUACCAGAUCUUGCCUUCCCAUACUGGUGGCGAAGCUGGUUGAAAGAUAACAGAUCUUGUCUUCAUGUACUGGCGUGAAGUAGAUCAGAGAUACCAGAUCUUGCCUUCCCAUACUGGUGGCGAAGCAGGUCAAAGAAAACAGAUCUUGUCUUCAUGUACUGGCGUGAAGUACAUCAGAGAUACCAGAUCUUGCCUUCCCAUACUGGUGGCGAAGCAGGUCAAAGAAAGAAGAUCUUGUCUUCAUGUACUGGCGUGAAGUAGAUCAGAGAUACCAGAUCUUGCCUUCCCAUACUGGUGGCGAAGCAGGUCAAAGAAAGCAGAUUUUGUCUUCAUGUACUGGCGUGAAGUAGAUCAGAGAUACCAGAUCUUGCCUUCCCAUACUGGUGGCGAAGCAGGUCAAAGAAAGCAGAUAUUGUCUUCAAGUACUGGCGUGAAGUAGAUUAGAGAUACCAGAUCUUGCCUUCCCAUACUGGUGGCGAAGCAGGUCAAAUAAAGCAGAUCUUGUCUUCAUGUACUGGCGUGAAGUAGAUCAGAGAUACCAGAUCUUGCCUUCCCAUACUGGUGGCGAAGCAGGUCAAAGAAAGCAGAUCUUAUCUUCAUGUACUAGCGUGAAGUAGAUCAGAGAUACCAGAUCUUGCCUUCCCAUACUGGUGGCGAAGUAGGUCAAAAAAAGCAGACCUUGUCUUCAUGUACUGGCGUGAAGUAGAUCAGAGAUACCAGAUCUUGCCUUCCCAUACUGGUGGCGAAGCAAGUCAAAGAAAACAGAUCUUGUCUUCAUGUACUGGCUUGAAGUAGAUCAGAGAUACCAGAUCUUGCCUUCCCAUACUGGUGGCGAAGCAGGUCAAAGAAAGCAGAUCUUGUCUUCAUGUACUGGCGUGAAGUAGAUCAGAGAUAACAGAUCUUGCCUUCCCAUACUGGUGGCGAAGCAGAUCGAAGAAAACAGAUCUUACCUUCCCAUACUGGUGCCGAAGCAGAUCGAAGAAAACAGAUCUUGUCUUCAUGUACUGGCAUGAAGUAGAUCAAAGAUAAUAGAUCUUGCCUUCCCAUACUGGUGGCGAAACAGAUCGAAGAAAACAGAUCUUGUCUUCAUGUAUUGGCGUGAAGUAGAUCAAAGAUAACAGAUCUUGUCUUUCCAUACUGGUGGUGAAACAGAUCGAAGAAAGCAGAUCUUAUCUUCAUGUACUGGCGUGAAGUAGAUCAAAGGUAACAGAUCUUGUCUUCCCAUACUGGUGGCGAAACAGAUCGAAGAAAGCAGAUCUUGUCUUCAUGUACUGGCGUGAAGUAGAUCAAAGGUAACAUAUCUUGUCUUCCCAUACUGGUGGCGAAGUAGAUCGAAGGAAAAAGCGGAUCUUAUCUUCAUGUACUGUCGUGAAGUAGAUCAAAGAUAACAGACCUUGUCUUCCCAUACUGGUGGCGAAGUAGAUCGAAGAAAGUAGAUCUUGUCUUCAUGUAUUGGCGUGAAGUAGAUCGAAGAAAGCGGAUCUUGUCUUCAUGUAUUGGCGUGAAGUAGAUCGAAGAAAGCGGAUCUUAUCUUCAUGUAUUGGCAUGAAGUAGAUCGAGGAAAGCAGAUCUUGUCUUCAUGUAUUGGUGUGAAGUAGAUCGAAGAAAGCAAAUCUUGUCUUCAUGUAUUGGCGUGAAGUAGAUCGAAGAAAGCAGAUCUUGUCUUCAUGUAUUGGCAUGAAGUAGAUCAAAGAGAGCAGAUCUUGUCUUCCCAUAUUGGUGGCGAAGUAGAUCGAAGAUACAAGUCUUAUCCCCCUGAAGUUGCAGUGGACCAGACAGAAAUAACCGAUCCUAUCUCCUUGGAAUUGCAAUGGAGUAGAUUAAAAUCACAGAUCUCAUCUCUCUGAAAUUGCAGUUGAGCAGAUCGCAUCCGAUUUAUCUUUAAGUCGUAGCAGAACAAGUCGAAGUUAUAAGUCUUAUCUCCCUGAAGAUACAGUGGAGCAGAUUAAAGAUAGCAAAUUUUGUUCUUUCGAGACGCUAUAACAUAUGAAUCUUAUUUCCCCGACAUUGUAAUGGGGUAGAUCGAAGCACCAGUUCCUAUACAUCUGAAGAUACAGUAGGAGGGAAUGUGGUUACUUGAAGAAGAAAAGCACUGAAGAAGGCGAGGCUCAGUAAGACCGGGUACAAUCGGGCUUUUAGUCUUUGCUCUACUCCCGUUACACGACAAUGAGCAAAGAGGGGCAGCUGUACAAGCCCAAUAAUGCCCGGGCCCAAACCCAAUAAACUAAACCAAAACCCAAUAGCUAAUUCCUAACCCAGGCCCGAAACUAAUGGAAAAUGGAAGGGUUGGGAAGCCCUAGCAGCAGCCCCCGCCUCCAGCAGACUCUCCAGGCGCCGCACGUCUCGGGGCCGACCUCUCCACACGCGCCAUUUGCUCCACGAACGCCUGCAAACGCGGACUCAAUGAGUCCGAAAGAAAAAAACAACAAGAAAUAACAUUAUUUCAUUAUUUUCUUUUUCUUUUUCGGGCUAUAAAAAGCCAUUUCUAAUCUGUAAAAUGGGGGUCGAAAAAUAUAUGCAAAGAUAUAGAGAGAAAAUACA
rnacentral:lncRNA from 1 species